rnacentral:lncRNA from 1 species
GAUGGACUUAGAGAACUGAUAUGCUACACUGUAAGAUGUGCUAUCCAGUAAGAUUGCAGCUUCAUUCAGUCACCCCAUACUACUGUUAUCUGAUGUGCUUUACAAAGUGUAGCUGCCCAAACCAUCUCAGGACUUUUAACCACUGUAUAACCUGUAGAAUAGUUCAAGGUUAUGAGGGAAGACAGGCUGCAAUGUUUCAUAAGUCCAUGAUGAAGAAGAUAUUCCCUGUGAUUGGCCAGAGGUAGCCAUGAAGGAUUCUGUAUUUAGAAAAGUCUUUGAAUUCCAAGAAAAAGAGGAGGUAGGCUAAAAGGGAGCUGUGAUCAAUAGCAGAGGUAUCAUUGUGUGGAUAUAAAGAAGGGCUGUGUGAUGAUCCUCUUUAGCACAGAGUUCAGAGACCUAGAUAAUGUCAACACUGAAUUUUUGCACAUUUCUUGUGGAAGUAGUGAGCAAGGACCAGAAAUUGUUGGUGGUUACUGCGGCUCUGGACAUCAGUGUUGAUCAUCUGUACCUGUUGUCAUGGAGAUCAGGUUAACAUACAUACUCCAGACCAUAUGGUGCCACAGCUGACAGCUGAGAUUCAUCAACAGAAAAGCAGCCUGGGAGCCCACCUUCCUAUCAGUAUGACAGCAAGGACAAAUCUGGUUCAGUUCAUCAAAUACAAGUCUUGACCAAUAGAUUAACUUAGACCCAUUCCCAGACCUAGAUCGAUCUAGCAGGAUCGACCCAUCUCUGAGGGAAUUCUCACUAAAUUUGAGUUCAGAUUAAGCAGCUUAGAUGUCUGGCACACCUACUGAACUUUUCGUCAAUCGAAAUCAAGUGAAGUCUAAUUCAUUUAAUUCUAAAAAAUAAAAGAUAAUAUAUACAUAUCGUAAACUUUGAUGUUGUGAAAAACUCAAAAACUGGAUAAGGGAAGAAAAGGAAGCCAGUGUUCAGAUUUACGCAUCAGAUAUUAUUUUCAGAAAUGAUGAUAAGUAAAUAAAUAUUGUAAUUUCUCAGGUAAAAUAAUACAUUUACAGAAAAUAAAAAAAAUGGAGGGCAUCUGUAUUACAGUGACAUCGAAUUCCUUCUGAACUAAAAAAUUAUGCUUUGCUUGUCUUUAUAUGUAUUUAUUUCAUACAGUAGUUACAUAUAUGUAGCUCGCAAUAAAGUGGCAUGGUAGGGUAUAUGGAUAUGUAUUUAUGUUAUACAGUACAGUAGUUACAUAUAUGUAGCUCGCAAUAAAGUGGCAUGGUAGGGUAUACGGAUAUGUAUUUAUGUUAUACAGUACAGUAGUUACAUAUAUGUAGCUCGCAAUAAAGUGGCAUG